rnacentral:tRNA from 1 species
GCCUGGGUGGCUCAGUCGUUAAGCGUCUGCCUUCGGCUCAGGACGUGAUCCCGGUGUUGUGGGAUCGAGCCCCACAUCAGGCU